rnacentral:rRNA from 1 species
CAGGCUUAACACAUGCAAGUCGAGGGGCAGCACAGGUAGCAAUACCGGGUGGCGACCGGCGCACGGGUGAGUAACGCGUAUGCAACUUGCCUAUCAGAGGGGGAUAACCCGGCGAAAGUCGGACUAAUACCGCAUGAAGCAGGGGCCCCGCAUGGGGAUAUUUGCUAAAGAUUCAUCGCUGAUAGAUAGGCAUGCGUUCCAUUAGGCAGUUGGCGGGGUAACGGCCCACCAAACCGACGAUGGAUAGGGGUUCUGAGAGGAAGGUCCCCCACAUUGGUACUGAGACACGGACCAAACUCCUACGGGAGGCAGCAGUGAGGAAUAUUGGUCAAUGGCCGAGAGGCUGAACCAGCCAAGUCGCGUGAGGGAUGAAGGUUCUAUGGAUCGUAAACCUCUUUUAUAAGGGAAUAAAGUGCGGGACGUGUCCCGUUUUGUAUGUACCUUAUGAAUAAGGAUCGGCUAACUCCGUGCCAGCAGCCGCGGUAAUACGGAGGAUCCGAGCGUUAUCCGGAUUUAUUGGGUUUAAAGGGUGCGUAGGCGGCCUUUUAAGUCAGCGGUGAAAGCCUGUGGCUCAACCAUAGAAUUGCCGUUGAAACUGGGGGGCUUGAGUAUGUUUGAGGCAGGCGGAAUGCGUGGUGUAGCGGUGAAAUGCAUAGAUAUCACGCAGAACCCCGAUUGCGAAGGCAGCCUGCCAAGCCAUUACUGACGCUGAUGCACGAAAGCGUGGGGAUCAAACAGGAUUAGAUACCCUGGUAGUCCACGCAGUAAACGAUGAUCACUAGCUGUUUGCGAUACACUGUAAGCGGCACAGCGAAAGCGUUAAGUGAUCCACCUGGGGAGUACGCCGGCAACGGUGAAACUCAAAGGAAUUGACGGGGGCCCGCACAAGCGGAGGAACAUGUGGUUUAAUUCGAUGAUACGCGAGGAACCUUACCCGGGUUUGAACGCAUUCGGACCGAGGUGGAAACACCUUUUCUAGCAAUAGCCGUUUGCGAGGUGCUGCAUGGUUGUCGUCAGCUCGUGCCGUGAGGUGUCGGCUUAAGUGCCAUAACGAGCGCAACCCUUGCCACUAGUUACUAACAGGUUAGGCUGAGGACUCUGGUGGGACUGCCAGCGUAAGCUGCGAGGAAGGCGGGGAUGACGUCAAAUCAGCACGGCCCUUACAUCCGGGGCGACACACGUGUUACAAUGGCGUGGACAAAGGGAUGCCACCUGGCGACAGGGAGCGAAUCCCCAAACCACGUCUCAGUUCGGAUCGGAGUCUGCAACCCGACUCCGUGAAGCUGGAUUCGCUAGUAAUCGCGCAUCAGCCAUGGCGCGGUGAAUACGUUCCCGGGCCUUGUACACACCGCCCGUCAAGCCAUGGGAGCCGGGGGUACCUGAAGUCCGUAACCGAAAGGAUCGGCCUAGGGUAAAACUGGUGACUGGGGCUAAGUC